ACUCCUACGGGAGGCAGCAGUGGGGAAUAUUGCACAAUGGGCGCAAGCCUGAUGCAGCCAUGCCGCGUGUGUGAAGAAGGCCUUCGGGUUGUAAAAUGCACUACAGUCGUGAGCAUGGUAGUGUAGUUAAUAGCUGCAUUAUUUGACGUUAGCGACGAAGAAGCACCGGCUAACUCCGUGCCAGCAGCCGCGGUAAUACGGAGGGUGCGAGCGUUAA
rnacentral:rRNA from 1 species